GAUGAACGCUGGCGGUAUGCUUAACACAUGCAAGUCGAACGGUGUCUUCGGACACAGUGGCGGACGGGUGAGUAACGCGUGAGAAUCUGGCUCUAGGUCUGGGACAACCACUGGAAACGGUGGCUAAUACCGGAUGUGCCGAGAGGUGAAAGGUUAACUGCCUAGAGAUGAGCUCGCGUCUGAUUAGCUAGUUGGAAGUGUAAUGGACUCCCAAGGCGACGAUCAGUAGCUGGUCUGAGAGGACGAUCAGCCACACUGGGACUGAGACACGGCCCAGACUCCUACGGGAGGCAGCAGUGGGGAAUUUUCCGCAAUGGGCGAAAGCCUGACGGAGCAAUACCGCGUGAGGGAGGAAGGCUCUUGGGUCGUAAACCUCUUUUCUCAGGGAAGAACAAAAUGACGGUACCUGAGGAAUAAGCAUCGGCUAACUCCGUGCCAGCAGCCGCGGUAAUACGGAGGAUGCAAGCGUUAUCCGGAAUGAUUGGGCGUAAAGCGUCCGCAGGUGGCAAUGUAAGUCUGCUGUUAAAGAGUCUAGCUCAACUAGAUAARAGCAGUGGAAACUACAUAGCUAGAGUACGUUCGGGGCAGAGGGAAUUCCUGGUGUAGCGGUGAAAUGCGUAGAGAUCAGGAAGAACACCGGUGGCGAAGGCGCUCUGCUAGGCCGUAACUGACACUGAGGGACGAAAGCUAGGGGAGCGAAUGGGAUUAGAUACCCCAGUAGUCCUAGCCGUAAACGAUGGAUACUAGGCGUGGCUUGUAUCGACCCGAGCCGUGCCGUAGCUAACGCGUUAAGUAUCCCGCCUGGGGAGUACGCCGGCAACGGUGAAACUCAAAGGAAUUGACGGGGGCCCGCACAAGCGGUGGAGUAUGUGGUUUAAUUCGAUGCAACGCGAAGAACCUUACCAAGGCUUGACAUGUCGCGAAUCUUCUUGAAAGGGAAGAGUGCCUUCGGGAGCGCGAACACAGGUGGUGCAUGGCUGUCGUCAGCUCGUGUCGUGAGAUGUUGGGUUAAGUCCCGCAACGAGCGCAACCCUCGUUUUUAGUUGCCAGCAUUAAGUUGGGCACUCUAGAGAGACUGCCGGUGACAAACCGGAGGAAGGUGGGGAUGACGUCAAGUCAGCAUGCCCCUUACGCCUUGGGCUACACACGUACUACAAUGCUCCGGACAGAGGGCAGCAAGCAUGCGAAUGCAAGCAAAUCCCGUAAACCGGAGCUCAGUUCAGAUCGCAGGCUGCAACUCGCCUGCGUGAAGGAGGAAUCGCUAGUAAUUGCAGGUCAGCAUACUGCAGUGAAUUCGUUCCCGGGCCUUGUACACACCGCCCGUCACACCAUGGAAGCUGGUAGUGCCCGAAGUCAUUACUCCAACCAUUCGUGGAGGAGGAUGCCUAAGGCAGGACUGGUGACUGGGGUGAAGUCGUAACAAGGUAGCCGUACCGGAAGGUGUGGCUGGAUCACCUCCUU
rnacentral:rRNA from 1 species